rnacentral:rRNA from 1 species
AUUGAACGCUGGCGGCAGGCCUAACACAUGCAAGUCGAGCGGCAGCGGGACCUUCGGGUUGCCGGCGAGCGGCGGACGGGUGAGUAAUGCCUAGGAAUCUGCCUGUUAGUGGGGGAUAACGCGGGGAAACUCGCGCUAAUACCGCAUACGUCCUACGGGAGAAAGCGGGGGCUCUUCGGACCUCGCGCUAACAGAUGAGCCUAGGUCGGAUUAGCUAGUUGGUGGGGUAAUGGCGCACCAAGGCGACGAUCCGUAACUGGUCUGAGAGGAUGAUCAGUCACACUGGAACUGAGACACGGUCCAGACUCCUACGGGAGGCAGCAGUGGGGAAUAUUGGACGAUGGGCGAAAGCCUGAUCCAGCCAUGCCGCGUGUGUGAAGAAGGUCUUCGGAUUGUAAAGCACUUUAAGUCGGGAGGAAGGGCUGUAGGCUAAUACCUUGCAGUUUUGACGUUACCGACAGAAUAAGCACCGGCUAACUUCGUGCCAGCAGCCGCGGUAA